rnacentral:tRNA from 1 species
AGUCUUAUAUUCAAUAAUGAUAAUAGAAUGCAAUUCUAUAGGAGUAAAUUAAGUUUUGCUAAGACUU